rnacentral:misc_RNA from 1 species
AACGCACAUUGCGCCCGCCAGUAUUCUGGCGGGCAUGCCUGUCCGAGCGUCAUUUCAACCCAUCAAGCCCUGCUUGUGUUGGGGCCCUGCGGCUGCCCGCAGGCCCCGAAAUACAGUGGCGGGCUCGCUAGCAAGACCGAGCGCAGUAGCACACGAAACCUCGCUCAGGCCUCGCGGCGGGCUCCCGGCCGUGAAACUCUUAGGACCCUUCCAAGGUUGACCUCGGAUCAGGUAGGAAUACCCGCUGAACUUAA